UAAGAAAAUAAAAUGCAUUACGUUUUCUCUGAAUACACUAUAGGAAUCACGAAAGUUAUCCAGUUGGUGAGCUUGAAUCCUAGAGGACAUCUACGUACAAGACUAGGAAUCUCCGGUUUGCUGCCACUAGAUUCUCCAAUGACUGCCACUGUGUGAUUGCCUUGGAAGCCUGCGCUGCUGAACCAGACAUGAUUGAACUUUUUCUUCCUCGGACUUGCUUUGUG
rnacentral:lncRNA from 1 species